AAACGUGUAUAUAUAUUAAUACAUAGCGCGCGCGCGCGCGUCGUGACUCGGUUCCGCGAUACGAAAAUCUCAAAUCGCUGAUGGUCGAAAGCAAAGCUGCGCCUGUAACAAGAAAGAAAGAGAACGCUCGAGACAGAAGAGGAUAGGUUGAGAAGGAGAUAGACCGCUUGAGAAAGAAAAAGACAGUUGAGCUCCCCACUCGUCGCCUUGGCUGCUCGACGUACGCCGAUAAGUGGGGAUAAAGUGCCAGCCGGUGCAAGUGGGUCUGUUUCCUCUGGCUGUCGGUGUGGCUGCAAAUCGGCGCCUCAAUGGCAACUCAGGACUCCUCACAUCCAAAGUUACUACUGCACUUGUAAACAGCGUUGUCAACUCGCAGAUAGAACAAAUCUUUGAAUUAGAGUUCAAAAAUCUCUAGAAAUCUUCAGUUAUUUGCCAGAAUACUAAAAAAUUUCUAGUGUUUUAAAAAAUUGAAAAAUUGCUUAUAUAUAUAUAUAUAUAUAUAGUAAUUAAAUUAUGACGAAAAAUUUAAUAGCACUUGGAUGAAGGGCCUUCCAAUAUUCACUAUCAAUGGCUACGUUUACAUGCCACUCUUAAUCGAGUUUAAUAACAUCUGUAGUUAUGUAACAAUCAUAGUUAUUCUAUUCUUCAGAUAAAUAGCUAUGAUUGGCCAGUUUAAUAACUAUAGAUGUUAUUAAAUCUGAUUAAAGGUCAAUCUACAAUAGGAUUGGUUGUAGGAAGUAAAGUAGUAGGACGUAAGCAGUAGCGUAAUUUCUACGACCACGUGUGUUCACAAUGCGACGUUGUAACGAUAUAAGGCCCAGGGUUGCCAGGUGCGGCGCAAUUCCGCCAAAGUGGCGCUUUGUAAUGGUCAAAUGGCGCACAAAAAUAAAUUCUUGGCGCUUGGCGCAAUGGUGGCACUGUAAAAAAAUAUUUGGCGCAAAAAUGGCGCUUUUCUAUCAUAUGUUAUAUUUCGGAAAUUUUACUCGAAUGUCCUCUAUGUAUUAUUUUAUCUCUAUUUAACCGAUAAAAAUAUCUAGAUGUAAGAAAUUUUUGGUUAUGACUGUAUGAGGUAUUGGUAAUGCAAGAGAUAGAGAUGCUAGUUGUGACUGUAUGUGGUAUCGGUAAUGCGCGCGUCGCGGCUACUACGUCAAUCAUUGGUCGCUUGAGAUCCGAUCUCGAAUAAUCUCGAUCCAUUGGUACAAACUAUAUAUCACUACGCGCGACCGGCGGGUUGCGCACGCGCACAAGAACAGAGAAGCUCAAUUGUGAAGUAACGGCGGAGACAGACAUGAGACAUACGUAUUUUGUAAAAAUUGUGAAAGUGAAGAGUGAAGAAUAGACUCAAUAACAGUGUCAUUUAUCCUUCCAUCUCGUUACGCCUUCCCUACUGUAGUUCAACCGAUUCCUGAAGAAGUAAUUCCCUCACGGAGGUACAUCUAAUUGACGACGAUAGAUCAAAGGAGAUAAUCAAUAUUUUUGAAAAGUAUUUUCUUAACCCAAUUAUUAGAGAUGAUAGAUCGAAAGAGAUAAUCAAUAUUUCUGAAGAGUGUUUUCUUAGCCCAAUUGUUAGAGAUGUUAAAGCAACUCAAAUAAAUAGUUACAUUUUAAAAAAUGUUAACGACCAAAGACGACAGAAAUCGGUAACGGAUCUGGAAUUCUGCACAUUUAUAGAUGCUUUGGGAACAUGUUUGAAACCAGCGAAACAAAGAAAAUUAUUGGCCGUAUAUUUGCAUCAUGAUAUCAAGAUAUUAGCAAAUGUGCUCUAAUUAUUCGAAACAGUUCAACAAUUUUCUUCAGCUAAUUUUAUAGAAUACGGAUUUAACAAAGAAAGCAACAUGCCAAAAAAACUUUCAAAUAUAAGAAAAUUCAAUCCUAAAUGGGAAAAGGAAGCCUGGUGACAGGAUAAGCAUUUCUUUUAAUAUUAACAAUGUUGGUUGGUUGACGCCACUCAAGAUAAUAAUAGUUUUCACGAUGCCUACUGCAAAGUGUGUAAGUUAUACAUGAGAGCACAUAAAAGUGAUCUUAUGAGACACACUGAAAGCGUAAUGCAUAAAAAUAAUAUGAAGAGUCUUCAUCCGGACAAAACUCAACAGAAAUUAAUAACGAGAGGGCAUGUUGUUGUUCAUUCAAAUGAAGGAAGAAGAAACAAGUUGCUGCUAGCUGUCUACAUUACACUUCAUUCGUCGGUACGAAAUAUUGAUCAUCUUUCAAACUUGUCGUAUAUCCAAAGAUAAUUCUAUUAAACUUUAUAGAACCAAAUGUUCAUUUUUAAUAAAAAAAGUAAUUGCUCCAUCUUUAUUAGAAAAUCUGUUAAAUGAUUUAAAUGAUUCUCCUUAUUCUUUAAUAGUUGAUGAAAGCACAGAUGUUGCUACUGUUAAGUAUUUAUGUAUUUGUGUGCGUUAUUUUAGUAGAAAGGAAUAAAAAGUUGUAAUCUAUUUUUUAGGGCUAAUUGAAAUAGAACAAGCAACAGCAAAAUGUUUAUAUACGAAAUUAACAGAUUUUUUAAUAGAUUUGAAAUUAAAAGUUACAAAUAUAAUUGGACUAGGGACAGAUGGUGCAAAUAAUCUUUGCGGGCGCCACAAUUCUUUAUAUUCGAGAUUAAAACAAGACAAUCCUAAAAUUCAACUUAUUCGAUGCAUUUGCCACUCACUUGAUAACGCGUCAUCUAAAGCAGCAGGAACAUUGCCAUCAAAUUUAGAUUUUCUUUGUAGAGAAAUUUAUACAUGGUUCAACCACAGUUCUGCUAGAAAAAUAGAAUAGAAAAGAUUAUACAAUUUUUUAAAUAAUGGUGAAAAAUCUUUUCAUAACUUUGUACAGUUAUGUUCAACACGUUGGUUGUGCAGAUAUAACGUAAUAAAUGUAUUAUUAGAACAUUAUGAGGAACUACAAACUCAUUUUAAAGUUGUCAUAAAUAAAGAAAAAUGUUACACAGCAAGAAUGCUUAACGAAAUGUUACACGAUGAAAAAAAUUAUCUAUAUCUUAUUAUUCUCAAACCAAUUCUUUAUGAAUUAUAUAAAGUUAAUCGUAUUUUCUAAUCUAAUUAUGUUGAAAUUGGAAACGCCUUUGAAGAUGUAAAAAGACUCGUUCUUUUUAUAGCUAAAAAAAUUUUAAAACCUGUAUUUCUUGAAGAUAUUGAUGACAUUUUAAACAAUGUUAAUAAUGAACUUGCUUAUGUGGAAGCUAGUAAAAUAGAUUUUGGAAUUGAAUAUUUCAAUUACUAUCGUAACGUAAAAACGUCUUUAUCAAAAAAUGAUAUAGAUAAUUUGGAACAACGUGCUGGCGAAUAUUUAAAAAAAUUGUUACAAGAAUUGGUUCAAAAAUUGCCUCUUUUUAUUAAUCAUUUCAAAGGUACACAGGCAUUAAGUCCGAAAGUAUGUCUUUCAAAAACUAUUAAACUAAAAUUUUCAGAUCUUCCUUUAAUUAAUACAUUUAUUAAUAAGAAAGACUUGUUUAAAGCUGAAUCAGAAUAUAAUUCAUUAAAUGAUGUUGAUUGGGAUGUUUUAUAUGGAAAAGACAUACUUACAGACAGUUAUCGAUUUUGGCCUGUUGUAGCGCAGCAUAAAGAUUCUAGAGAUUCUUUUGCUUUUAAUAUAAUUGCAGAGUUCGCUUUAAAAAUAUUGAGUUUACCAAUGUCAAAUGCAACAGUUGAAAGAAUCUUCAGCAUCAUAAAUGCGACAAAAGAUAAACUAAGAAAUAGAAUGGCAACAGAAAUGUUGAAUUCUAUCCUUAUCAUAAAAUCUCAUGCUUUGAAUAAUUACUGUUGUAAAAAUUUUGUUUGUACUCAAAAUAUGUUCGAAAAAUUUAAUAAUUCUAUGUACAACAAUAAAAUUGAAAAUGAACACGAAAAUAAUGAUUUGCUUAUUUUAGAGACUGUGAAUGAUAGUAAUGAUUAUAAUGAUAAUUGUACCUGAUUAAUGUAAGGUCAUUAUAAUUGUUGAAAUUAGUUAUACAAAUAUAUAUAUAUAUAUAUGAAAAUUAUAUAUGGAAAUAAUAAAAUGGAUAUAAUCUUGAAUGAAUUUUUUUUCUUCCCUUUAGUUACAAUUUUUUUCUAUGCAAAUGUCUUACCUUAUCCUAAUUUAAUUCUAUAUCUUUAUAUUUAUAUAAGUUAGUUUCUAUUUUAAGCUUUUUAAAUUUGUGGAAAAAUAUCUUGUAUAUGCUAUCCAAAGAGGAAAGAAAUGUCAAAAUAAUAAUUUUUUUUCUUACUUUACAAAAUAAUAAUGUUUUAUUUUCCUGGAGUAUAAAAAAUAAAAAAUAAUAUAACAAUUACAAUUUUUUUAAAUUUGGCGCUUUAGAUGGCGCUGGAGAGUUACAUUUUGGCGCAUGGUGGCGCUUUAGGCAUGAAAAUUUGGCGAAUUGGUAUUUCAGAAACCUGACAACUCUGAUAAAGCCGGCCAAUAAAAACAAAUUGUUUGAAAUCACAUGCAAAACAGUGAUGUAUUUUGAGUAGUUUAUUUUUGUGGUUAGUGUAAUUAUGGAUUAGAGAAAAAUUGGAUUGUUUCUUUUAUUUUACCUAUCUUGGCAAAAUUUAUUGUUAUUACAAUGGCAAGCUAUAAGAAGAAGAAGAACGAAGCAACGGCGCUGGUGGAUUUAGCCUGUAAACAGAUUACGAAAUGCUCAAGGAUUUUAUCAUAAUCUUGUUCAAGAAUUGGUUCAGAGUGACCACGAGGAAUUCUUUGGAUUAUAUAGAAUGUGGCCUGAACAGUUCAAUUUAUUAGUAAAUUUGUUUCAUUUUCAUAUUAAGAAGAACAGCAUUCGGACAUCUCUUCCUUCAGAACUGCGCUUAGCUGUCACUUUGUUGGUGAUAGCGCUAAAUUAAAACAUGCAGAAUUUAGAAUAGGCAAGUCAACUGUUCACAAAAUAGUAAAUGAGACUUGUCAGGCGAUUUGGAUAGCGCUACAACCAAUAGUUUUGAAACCUCCUAGUAAAGAAGAUUGGAAAUCCUUCAGCGAGGAAUUUAUGAGAAAGUGGCAAUUUCCAAAUUGUUUGGGAGCAAUAGAUGGGCGUCGUAUGAGAAUUCAGGCACCACUCAAUUCUGGAUCGACAUUCUACAACUAUAAACAAUUUUUCAGCAUGAUACUGCUUGCCAUCUGCGAUGCAUCAUAUAAGUUUACUUGGGUUGACAUCGGGCAAUAUGGUUCUAUAAGUGAUGGUGGAGUGUGGGCUAAUACUGACUUUGCAAAUGAUAUCGCUGCAGACAAUUUACCCUUGCCAGAUUCUACACCACUUCCAGAAACAAAUAUUUCUUUUUCCUUUGUGUUUAUUGGUGACAAAACUGUCCCACUUUCAACAUAUAUGAUGCGGCCCUAUCCUCGUAAAAAUCUUUUUAAGGAUUUUUAAUUAUUGUUUAUCACGUGCACGGUGUACGAUAGAGAAUGUCUUUGGAAUUUUGACUGCACGUUGGCGUAUGUUGCACAAACCUCUUUGCAUAUCAACAAUCAACUGUGAAAAUGUUUUGAAGGCUCUCGUCUGUCUACAUAAUUUUAUUAUGUAUGGAGAAGAACAAGAGAAUAUGAACAAUCGUUAAUAUUGUAGAACAGAUUUAAUUGAUACCAAGGAGCGUGAUGGCAGCAUUAGGGAAGGACAGUGGAGACGGCACUUUUCCCCACAUUUUGCUGAACUCGGUCGAUUAGGUGCUAACCGUGCAAAUUCUAUAGCGAAAGAAAUGAGAAAUAUCCUUAAAGGUUACUUUGUUUCUCCAGUUGGUGAAGCUCAAGUUCCAUGGCAAUACGAAUACACGUUCAGAGGAGCUAUUAUUAAUCCUUCUGUAACAUAAUUUCUUAAACAUAUGAUAUACAAAAAAAAUUUGUUAUUGCUGAAUUUAUUUUGAUUUUAUAACUUGAUUAUAUAUUCAAAACAGUUUUUUUCGUUUACAGAAUUAAGAUUUUGCUGAGUAUCUAAAAAUUAGCUGGAUACAGAUCUGAAAAUAAUUUUAUUGGAUCUUCAAAAUAGUUAUGAUAAAUUUUAAGCAAUAAAU